rnacentral:rRNA from 1 species
UGACGGUACCUGGAGAAUAAGCCCCGGCUAACUACGUGCCAGCAGCCGCGGUAAUACGUAGGGNGCNAGCGUUNUUCGGANUUACUGGGCGUAAAGCGUGCGCAGGCGGNUUUNUAAGUCAGANGUGAAAUCCCCGAGCUCAACUUGGGAACUGCCUUUGANACUGCCAANCUUGAAUANGNCAGAGGUNGGUGGAAUUCCCCGUGUAGCGGUGAAAUNCGUAGAUAUNUGGAAGAACACCAAUGGCGAAGGCAGCCCCCUGGACUAAUAUUGACGCUGAGGCACGAAA